CCACUCGCACGCUCCUUUGUUUCUCUAGCGCCUGGUACAUACUGAAGGUGCUUAAUAAACCUGUGUUGAACUAAACUCGUCUUGACUCCUAGUUCAAAGGCUCUCUCCUCUUUUUUUUGUUUUUGUUUUUGUUUUUGUUUUUUUUUUUACACAAAGAAAACAGUUCCUGGACACCAGACCCACACACAAUAUUUACAAAUUUGGUGUGAAUCCCGCACCUGGGUCU
rnacentral:lncRNA from 1 species